UACGGAGGAUGCGAGCGUUAUCCGGAUUUAUUGGGUUUAAAGGGUGCGUAGGCGGCUUUUUAAGUCAGCGGUGAAAUUUUGCAGCUUAACUGUAACAGUGCCGUUGAUACUGGGGAGCUAGGAUUUGGUUGCUGUGGGUGGAAUGUGUGGUGUAGCGGUGAAAUGCUUAGAGAUCACACAGAAUAUCGAUUGCGAAGGCAGCUCACAAAGCCAAGAUUGACGCUGAGGCACGAAAGCGUGGGGAGCAAACAGGAUUA
rnacentral:rRNA from 1 species